CAAACACUUCUGUUGUGCCUGAUUAUUGUUGAUAUGUAUUCACCUAAGUUUGUUGAACAUCUGAAGCAGGUAUAUGAUUCUGUAGCUAUUAGUUGUUUACUUUGAUCUAGAUAUGCCUUUAUGUCAAUAAAAAGUUUGAUGUUCAUUUGGCCUGAUGGCACAAAGCUUCCUGACUUUUGGGGGGUCAGUUUUUUCUUUGCCCUUUAUUUACUUCUCUCUCAAUAAAAAAAUAAGGUUCUUUGGAAACUUAAGUUCAGUGGCUGUGGUCACUUGCAGAUUGUACAUAUCGGUUCUUGCAAUGAUUAUGAUUCUGGAGCAGCCCUAUUUCAGUGGGAAAGCUAUUUUAAGGUAAAGGAGCUUUUGGAACUAUCUAAUGUAUGUGACUUUCCUUUUUCAGAUACUUUAUAUUCUUUUUCCGGGAAAAUAGGAAGGAGUUGUAAUCGUUUGAAGUCAAACCUAACUUCAAAUUGUGAUAUUUUAGAAUGUCAAGAGAUAACCAUAUUUUGAAUAUCAAAUCCAUUGAGCCAGUUUUAAUUGAGAUGGUAUCUUACGGAUUUGCCUCAAUUAGGUAGGAGGUGAAAUGUUAGCUUGGUUGUGUUUUUCAUAACAGUUAGAAUGGAGAAUCGUUUGUCAGAAAAAUUCAAUAUUUUGAAGGUACAUAAAAAAAAAAAAAAAAAAA
rnacentral:lncRNA from 1 species